UACGGAGGGUGCAAGCGUUGUCCGGAUUUACUGGGCGUAAAGGGCGCGUAGGCGGCGCAACAAGUCACUUGUGAAAUUUCCGGGCUUAACCCGGAGCGGCCAAGUGAUACUGUCGUGCUAGAGUGCGGAAGGGGCUACUGGAAUUCUCGGUGUAGCGGUGAAAUGCGUAGAUAUCGAGAGGAACACCUGCGGCGAAGGCGGGUAGCUGGGCCGACACUGACGCUGAGGCGCGAAAGCCAGGGGAGCGAACGGG
rnacentral:rRNA from 1 species